UUUAACCUGAUGGUCUUCUAUAAAGUUUCCGCCUACCCAAUAUCAUUUUGUCCCUCUAAAUGGAGUCUACAUAUUUCAUUUGAAUCUUAUAUUCAUUCUCAAUCAAAGUCUGAUGGAUUUGAUCAGAUCUUAUUGGAUAUAGCUUUAUUUAAACCUUUGGUAGCUGCAGCUUUAAAUGCUUUGAAGAAGAGCAUGAAUUCCAAAUUGAAUUGUUUCUACGCCACAGCUGAAACAUGAUUUGACCUGCCGGUUGGAAACAAGACUUCACCUACUGCGUUGUUUACUUAAAACAUCAAAUCGACCAGGCCAAAUUUUUCAUAAAAUAAUACCCUUAUCUCUAAAUAUGAAUGACAUGAAGCUGGAAAAAAUUACAUUUGCCCAAGACGCCAGCCAGUCGAAUCGAACCUUGGACCUCGUUAUUGUGAAGUCAAUUUUAAUGAUGGCUUCAAAUUUUGGUAUACGACCACCAAUUUUAGGGGAGGAAUUAAGUCGAUUACAUUCACCUCAGUGCUCAACCGGUACUUAUUUUAUCGACCCUGAAAGGAUAAAAGGCAAAGUCGAUCCCGGUAGAAUUUGAACUCAGAACGCAUGAAAUGUCGCUAUAUUUUGCCCGGCAUGUUAACGAUUCUGCCAGCUCGCCACCUUCAAGCGAAUUUCAAUAAUACUACGCCAAAUAUCUUGAGCAAGGAUGACAUUUGAAUAACAUUUGAACGCAAAGUGUUGGCGAGCCUCUGAUCUCUGAAAAUAGCAAAAUAAAACUUUUCUGGACAGUAGCCGGAUUUCACAAAUUUAAAUAUCACACCGGACACUUUUUGCCCGUAACCUUUUUCGUCAAAUUGGCGGAGUAAAAGAAAAAAGAACGGCACACCAAUACAUUUUUGAGAGAAACAUUACAGAUUUUUAUCUAAACGUUGUAGUUCAAUUCGUAAUUUAAAAGAAUGAGAGGAACACAAUCAUAUGAGUGAAAGCUUAACUACAUCAAGGAUUCUUAGC